GAUGAAGAACGUAGCGAAAUGCGAUAAGUAAUGUGAAUUGCAGAAUUCAGUGAAUCAUCGAAUCUUUGAACGCACCUUGCGCCUUUUGGUAUUCCGAAAGGCACACCUGUUUGAGCGUCAUGAAUACCUCAAUCUCCAUCUUUUCUUCGGAUUGAUGGGUGACUUGGAUGUUGAGCCCUGCUGGUAUGCUAUAUCAGCUGGCUUUAAACUUAUUAGCCGGCUCUGUACUGGAUCGGUUUGACUCGACGUGAUAAUAUUAUCGUUGAGGAUGCAUGUCUCAUGCAGCCGGAAAGUAUCAAAGCAGCUUCUAGCUUGCCUUUAGUGCAGUUUUACAUUUUAGACCUCAGAUCAGGUGGGACUACCCGCUGAACUUAAGCAUAUCAAUAAGCGGAGGA
rnacentral:misc_RNA from 1 species